CACAUAACCUGUAAUAAUUUUUGUUCGGUGCAGAAACAACCAUGGAAAACAUUAUAUGGAGAAUAUCUCAUUUUGCAUACGAGUAUUUCGCUGAAAAAGAAAAUUCUGUGAAAUCAACAUUUUGGGCUACAUAGUCGUUGUUAAAGUCAACUCUGUUAAUAUAAAACAGCAUAGAUAUAAUCUAAGUACACCAAGUUCUCAAGCAAAAAAUAUAGGUUAUGUUUCCCAGAAAUCAAAUAUAUUUACAAGAGAAAACUUACGAAAAUUUUUAACAGAGGCCCGUGAUUAAUGUACCUAAUGUCAAAGGUAUAUUUUUUAUUCGAAGUUGUAGGAGUAUGCGGAAAGGAAGAAUUUGAACAAUUUUCUUGUAUCUACAUAACCUAUAAUAAGCUUUUAUUAUUAUUACAGAAGAGAUUAUUAGCUUACAUGCCCAUUUUAAAUGAAAGUAUGAAGCAUACCUCUUAUUUUUCGGCACUUUUAAUAUUUUUGCUUGCAGAAAGAUCUGCAGCAAUUGCAAAAUAGAGAUGGAUAGCAAUAAUAACAAGCAGUUUACAUGCAUUCGACCGAACUUGCAAAAACUGGCAGAUAAUAUAUCAAAUUUAUUACCUAAAAACUCAGCCACAGUUUAUGAAAAACGGUAUGAAUUUUUUUUUUUUGCGCAGAAACAACCAUGCAAAAUAUAUGGAGAACACCUCAUUGCAUACGAGUAUUUCGCUGAAAAAGCAAAUUCUGUGAAAUCUUUAACACUUUGGGCUGCAUAUUCGUAGUUAAAGUCAACUCUGUUAAUAAAAAACAGCAUAGAUAUAUCUAAGUACACCAAGUUUUCAAGCAAAAAAUAUAGGUUACAUUGCCAAGAAAUCAAAUAUAUUUACAAGAGAAGACUUACCAAAAUUUUUAACAGAAGCCCGUGAUUAAAUGUACACGAUGUUAAAGGUGAUCUCAAACAAGGUCAAUCACAUUGUCUAUAAAUCAUUAUGUUUUAGGUUUAUUUUUUAUUAGAAGUUGUAGGAGCAUGUGGAAUGGAUAAAUUGAAAAAUAAUGACGGCAUUCAAGACAAAAACGAUACGCUAAUAAUUAAAAUUCCAACGUCUAAAACUGGCAAAGCACGAGAAUUUACAAAUAUGUGUAAAAAUAUUUAUCCAAUUGAAAUAUAGUAAAAAUACCUAAUUUUAAGACCGCACCAUACACCAGACAAAUCAUUAUUUAUACAUUACAUUUGGAUAGUGAAUGCAGCAGCUGCUGCAUUGUACAAAUAUACCUGCAAACACACUGUAACAAAUUAUGCAGACACCUCUUUUGACUAAAAGAUAUAUAUUUAACUUUAUCCAUACGUUGUCAACUUUGUUAAUAAUUGCAAUCUCUAACUUCAUAAGAAAUAUGAAUAAUCUACUUUGGUGUUUUAUAGUAGUAUUAAAUGUUCAUAGAAUAUAAUUGCACUUACUACGAAGUAAGCUUUCCUAGUUUUAAGUUGUUUUCUUUUCUCUUUGAUUAUCUUAAUUUCUUCAGCCUCUAUGUGGCUGUUUUAAUUCCAAAAAAUUGUUUCUGAAUAAACUGAUUCAUACCA